CCUGGACCCGGGCGUCCCGCAAGACAGGAGAGCCAUGGAAAAGCAGAGCUGUGCGGCUGUGGCUCUAAACCUCAGCAAAAUCCAGGACAUGCAGACUAGACUUCGAAGCAACCUGGAGGCCAUCAGAAUGCUAAAUCAACAAUUGAACUCUCUCAGCGGGGAGAAUAAGCGGUUGCGCAGGCAGCUGGAGGACGAGCGGUCCGUGCGCAGACUGCUGCCUCCUCUUCCUCCUCCUCCACCUUCCAGCAGAGCUCCAUCGUCCACCUCCCCCUGUCCCCCGGUGCUCACCCGGCUCUCCUCUCUGCGCCCGCCUUGUUCUCGUCCCACCGCCCCCCCCCCCCCCUCCACCCCUCAGGCGUGGACAGAGCCUCGCUGUUGGGACAGGUGAGUCAGGGGGGGGGGGUCAGGCCCAACGCCUCACUGGGAAAAGUGCUCGGCCCGGGAGGACGAGCGGGGAUCUGAACAGACGAAGCAACACUGAAGACUUUGACCCGUCAUGACUCGUUGGCCUCCACCUCCUCGCCAGGGAGCGAAGUCAGUGCGAGGUUAAUGUCCUGCAGGUCCAAGCCGACUCCCAGGGUGCUUUUUGGCCUGAAGGGGGCUCCAGAACCGGCGAACGAUGGAAUUCCCUCAAAUCAUGUAAUAUCCACUCAGGAUAUUUCUACUGCUGGGCCAGAAGGAGAAGGAGAAUUUAUUCCAAGAAUAUAUAUAUAUAUAUAUUAUGUUUAAAUAGAUUCUGACACUUAACAUCAAAAAUGUAUGCAUCCUCAAAAUGCUGUAAUGCUCUGAAGAGCGGCAGCCCGUCUUCACGAAAUGAUCACAAAACUCUAAAGACCAAGAUGUCACUUGUCUGCACUUACUUGAAGUAAAGGGUUAGAGGUCAUCAGAACUGUCAGAAUCUUCAACGUAUAAUCAAAUGAACUAAAAAGAACAGGUUGUUGAUGAAUGUGUCUUACACAGAGAGUCGCGUCGGACGAAUGGGGGGGCGACGUGUCCUCAGUAUCCUCGAGUGCCUGUGGAUGAGUGUGUGAUUGAGUUUAUUAGAUGUUUGGUAUUUUGCUUUAUACUAAAAAACCACUUAUUGAUUCCUCUCUGUUGCUGCCCCCCCCCCCCCCCUCGUGUUGUAUGGACGGGGAAAUAA